rnacentral:miRNA from 1 species
AAGAGGCUUCUUAGGCAAGUGAU